rnacentral:rRNA from 2 species
GAUCUGAUUAAUUCUGUGACGGCGUGCCUUUUGCAUAAUGAGCCUACGAGUUAAUUUUACUAGCGAGGUUAAGGUAUUAAGUACCGGAGCCGGAGCGAAAGCGAGUCUGAAUAGGGCGAAUAGUUAGUAGGAUUAGACGCGAAACCUUGUGAUCUACCCAUGGGCAGGUUGAAGCUUUGGUAACACAAAGUGGAGGACCGAACCGGUUGACGUUGAAAAGUCUUCGGAUGACCUGUGGGUAGGGGUGAAAGGCCAAUCAAACUGGGAGAUAGCUCGUACUCUCCGAAAUGCAUUUAGGUGCAGCGUCGUAUAUAAGUUUAUUAGAGGUAGAGCUACUGAUUGGAUGCGGGGGUUUCACCGCCUACCAAUUCCUGACAAACUCCGAAUGCUAAUAAAUGUUCUACGGCAGUGAGGGCAUGGGUGCUAAGGUCCAUGUCCGAGAGGGAAAGAACCCAGACCAACAGCUAAGGUCCCCAAAUUUCUGUUAAGUUGAAGCAACGCGGUUGGACUGCAUUGACAGCUAGGAUGUUGGCUUGGAAGCAGCCAUUCAUUUAAAGAGUGCGUAACAGCUCACUAGUCGAGCGGUCCGGCAUGGAUAAUAAUCGGGCAUAAACAGAAUACCGAAGCUAUGGAUUUAUAAUUAAUUAUAUCUGGUAGGAGAGCAUUCUAUCGGCGUAGAAGCUGAGUCGUGAGGCUUGGUGGAGCUUAUAGAAAAGAAAAUGUAGGCAUAAGUAACGAUAAAGGGGGCGAGAAACCCCCUCACCGAAAGACUAAGGUUUCCUCAGCCAUGCUAAUCAGCUGAGGGUUAGUCGGGACCUAACGCGAACCCGAAAGGGGUAGUGGAUGGACAAUGGGUUAAUAUUCCCAUACUUGCUCACACUAAAAAGGGGACGGUUCGAUGUAGCUAUUGAAGACGGACGGAAGUGUCAAGGCUUAGCCUUCG